rnacentral:lncRNA from 1 species
UCAUUCCUCCCCUCCAGUCCCCACAUGCCCCAGAGAUGCCAGAGAAGGUGCUGGGCACAGCGAGGGAUGCUGGCCUUGCCACCCUCAGGCAAGGAAGUUACAGAACUAUUAUAGGAACAGUGGAUCAUCUUCAGGUAUGACGAACAAAAAGCAACAGGUGUAUGGUUGCACAGGUGUCAGUGUGCUGAGGAGGUCUGAGUAAAAGAUUAGGACGCCCUGAUAAAUGUUGAGCCCCUAUCUACUUUUCUUAGAGAAGGAUUCCUAGGACAAGUAGGUACCGAAGGUGUCAGUGUUGGGGAUGGAGAGUCAUAGUGGUGAUAAGCCUGGUAAGUAACCUCACCAGGACGUGCCAAAGACAGGUCAGCGAGGGAAGGGACUGUGGAA